rnacentral:rRNA from 1 species
ACAUUGCGUUCGAAGGAUCGAUCGGUUUUGGUGACGAUGACGAUUGUUGCUGUAUGCGAUAAUGAGUGACAACAGCCUUGUUUAACUCGUUAUUUAAUUAUAGAUGCCAUCUAUGAUUACCCCUUGGACUUAAGCAUAUCAUUAAAGGGAGGAAAAGGAAACAACUGUGAUUUCGAUAGUAGCGGCGAGUGAAAUUGAAAUAGCCCCGAUGGUAAAGAACGUCUGUUCUGUUGUAAAGGGAACGCGCAUAAAAUUCUGGAAUGAAUUUUCACAGAAGGUGACAACCCUGUAACGCGUUAUGUAGAGUUGAGUAGUACUGUUUGGUAGUGCAGUAUGAAAGGGUGGUUGUUAUCAUCCAAGGCUAAAUACAACCAAAGACCGAUAGCGAAUAAGUACUGUGAAGGAAGCAACUUGCUGUAGUGGUAAGUUUGUGAAAUCGAACGUAAGGAAGGCGACGUGUCGCA